ensembl:snRNA U6 U6 spliceosomal RNA
GUGCUUGCUUUGGUGGCACAUAUGCUAAAAUUGGAACGAUACAGAGAAGAUUAUUAGCAUGGCCCCUGUGCAAGGAUGACACUCAAUUCUCAACUUGUCUCUGUCCUUU